UUGGAGGGCAAGUCUGGUGCCAGCAGCCGCGGUAAUUCCAGCUCCAAUAGCGUAUAUUAAAGUUGUUGCAGUUAAAAAGCUCGUAGUUGAAUUUCGGGAUUGACGUGAUGGUCAUGCCUUAAGGGGUAUGAACUGUUGCUGUUGAUUUCUCACCUUCUGGAGAAACUUGAUGUCCUUAAUUGGGUGUCUUGCGGAUCCAGGACCUUUACCUUGAAAAAAUUAGAGUGUUUAAAGCAGGCAUUUUUGCUCGAAUACAUUAGCAUGGAAUAAUAGAAUAGGACGGCAUGGUUCUAUUUUGUUGGUUUCUAGGAUCACCGUAAUGAUUAAUAGGGAUAGUUGGGGGCAUUAGUAUUCAAUCGUCAGAGGUGAAAUUCUUGGACUUAUUGAAGACUAACUACUGCGAAAGCAUUUGCCAACGAUGUUUUCAUUAAUCAAGAACGAAAGUUAGGGGAUCGAAGACGAUCAGAUACCGUCGUAGUCUUAACCAUAAACUAUGCCGACUAGGAAUCAGACGAUGUUAAUUUUUUAAUGACUCGUUUGGCACCUUACGGGAAACCAAAGUGUUUGGGUUC
rnacentral:rRNA from 1 species